rnacentral:rRNA from 1 species
CAAUAGCGUAUAUUUAAGUUGUUGCAGUUAAAAAGCUCGUAGUUGGAUUUCGGGUGGGACGCAGCGGUCUCGCAUUGCGUUUGUACUGCUGCAGCCCUCCUUCUUGCCGGGGGCGGCCUCUCGGACUUCACUGUCUGGGGGUCAGAAUCGGCGAUGUUACUUUGAGUAAAUUAGAGUGUUCAAAGCAAGCUUACGCUCUGAAUAUAAUAGCAUGGGAUAACACGACAGGACUCUGGCCUAUCGUGUUGGUCUAUAGGACCAGAGUAAUGAUUAAGAGGGACAGUCGGGGGCACUCGUAUUCCGUUGUCAGAGGUGAAAUUCUUGGAUUUACGGAAGACGAACAUCUGCGAAAGCAUUUGCCAAGGAUGUUUNCAUUGA